UACGUAGGGAGCUAGCGUUGUUCGGAAUUACUGGGCGUAAAGCGCGCGUAGGCGGCUUUGUAAGUUAGAGGUGAAAGCCCGGGGCUCAACUCCGGAACUGCCUUUAAGACUGCAUCGCUUGAAUCCGGGAGAGGUGAGUGGAAUUCCGAGUGUAGAGGUGAAAUUCGUAGAUAUUCGGAAGAACACCAGUGGCGAAGGCGGCUCACUGGACCGGUAUUGACGCUGAGGUGCGAAAGCGUGGGGAGCAAACAGG
rnacentral:rRNA from 1 species